GGUAGCACAGAGAGCUUGCUCUCGGGUGACGAGUGGCGGACGGGUGAGUAAUGUCUGGGAAACUGCCUGAUGGAGGGGGAUAACUACUGGAAACGGUAGCUAAUACCGCAUAACGUCGCAAGACCAAAGAGGGGGACCUUCGGGCCUCUUGCCAUCAGAUGUGCCCAGAUGGGAUUAGCUAGUAGGUGGGGUAACGGCUCACCUAGGCGACGAUCCCUAGCUGGUCUGAGAGGAUGACCAGCCACACUGGAACUGAGACACGGUCCAGACUCCUACGGGAGGCAGCAGUGGGGAAUAUUGCACAAUGGGCGCAAGCCUGAUGCAGCCAUGCCGCGUGUAUGAAGAAGGCCUUCGGGUUGUAAAGUACUUUCAGCGGGGAGGAAGGGAGUAAGGUUAAUAACCUUAUUCAUUGACGUUACCCGCAGAAGAAGCACCGGCUAACUCCGUGCCAGCAGCCGCGGUAAUACGGAGGGUGCAAGCGUUAAUCGGAAUUACUGGGCGUAAAGCGCACGCAGGCGGUCUGUCAAGUCGGAUGUGAAAUCCCCGGGCUCAACCUGGGAACUGCAUUCGAAACUGGCAGGCUGGAGUCUUGUAGAGGGGGGUAGAAUUCCAGGUGUAGCGGUGAAAUGCGUAGAGAUCUGGAGGAAUACCGGUGGCGAAGGCGGCCCCCUGGACAAAGACUGACGCUCAGUGCGAAAGCG
rnacentral:rRNA from 1 species